UACGUAGGGUGCGAGCGUUGUCCGGAAUUAUUGGGCGUAAAGAGCUCGUAGGCGGUCUGUCGCGUCUGCUGUGAAAACCCGAGGCUCAACCUCGGGCCUGCAGUGGGUACGGGCAGACUAGAGUGCGGUAGGGGAGAAUGGAAUUCCUGGUGUAGCGGUGGAAUGCGCAGAUAUCAGGAGGAACACCGAUGGCGAAGGCAAUCCCCUGGGCCUUACCUGACGCUGAGGAGCGAAAGCGUGGGGAGCGAACAGG
rnacentral:rRNA from 1 species